UCAGGUACUGCAUCCUUAAAUUUUGAUUCUUUGCUUUCACUGAUAACGGCGAGGGGGGAAAAAUGAACAAGAGAACAGAUCAACAGGUGUUUAAAUUUAAAAAAAAUAUUGGCCUAGAAUAAAAUUAACUACACACCUACAACUGAAAUUUUUUUGGAGAUCAGCAAUUUUUUUCUACUGAGAAAUAAAAGAAAAUAGGUAGAAGUAUGAAAUGGCUUGAAUAUUGAACACAACAAACAGGAACCAAACACUGAAUCAAGUCAUUUCAGUAGCCAUUGAAAAAUUUGAAAAAAUGAACUUUAAAAAUUCAGGGCAAUGAGAAAUGCGGGAUGAACAGGGAGGGGCACUCAAACUUGAAAGUGAAGAAAAAAGUUCAGAGUAGAGGCAAGUCAUAAAUCUUAUCUUUAGUUGAUACAAGAUAGAGUGAUGAAAAGAGAGACUGGUGUUUGUUCAAGUUGAUAGCAUGCCUGAGAAUGAACAGAGGCACUCUGAGGUCAAAAUUGUAGCGGUGGAAAGGAACUCCGCUGUGUAUCAUCUCACCUGAAUCUGGUUGAGUCAAGACCUCCUUUACUUCUUUCGUAAGAUUACUAAGCUGUCCUUUGAGAGAGGAAAGACCUGAUUCAAACCAAGCCAUUGUAUCUUCUUAGGUGCAGGAAGUUCUUCCGAACCGAAAUACGAUUACGAUGCCAAUUUCAUCAUUGAAGCAAGUGUACACGAAAGCGUACACCCGUAAUUAACAGUGAUGGAACAAUGCUUGCACUGAUUAACUGUAAAAAAAACUGGGCACUAAACUCGAUGGGCCAUUACUUUGGGCGAAGAAAUUAAUGAGAAUCAAAGACACAACUACUGUAAAUUAGUCUUGAUUUCCUGAUUUUCCUGUGAUAGCUUAUCACAAAUUUCCUAACCAAACAAAUGUUUGAGUGGUGACUUCGUCCGCUAGAGAGCGCGAACCAGGCGCGAGCAGAGGUAAUCACGUGGCAAAUACAAAUCACCCGCCAAAGCUUUUAAAUUAGUGGCGGGAGUGAACUUGAGCGUCCAGCGUUGCCCAACCGUUCCAAAAUAUUGACCCGACAACAA
rnacentral:lncRNA from 1 species